rnacentral:rRNA from 1 species
GACGUCUACGAGUUUGAUCAUGGCUCAGAACGAACGCUGGCGGCAGGCCUAACACAUGCAAGUCGAGCGAACCCUUCGGGGUUAGCGGCGGACGGGUUAGUAACGCGUGGGAAUAUACCCUUUGGUACGGAAUAGCCUCGGGAAACUGAGAGUAAUACCGUAUGUGCCCUUCGGGGGAAAGAUUUAUCGCCAAAGGAUUAGCCCGCGUUGGAUUAGAUAGUUGGUGGGGUAAUGGCCUACCAAGUCUACGAUCCAUAGCUGGUUUGAGAGGAUGAUCAGCAACACUGGGACUGAGACACGGCCCAGACUCCUACGGGAGGCAGCAGUGGGGAAUCUUAGACAAUGGGCGCAAGCCUGAUCUAGCCAUGCCGCGUGGACGAUGAAGGCCUUAGGGUUGUAAAGUCCUUUCAGAUGGGAAGAUAAUGACGGUACCAUCAGAAGAAGCCCCGGCUAACUCCGUG